AGUGAACGCUGGCGGUAGGCCUAACACAUGCAAGUCGAACGGCAGCACAGUAAGAGCUUGCUCUUACGGGUGGCGAGUGGCGGACGGGUGAGGAAUACAUCGGAAUCUACUUUUUCGUGGGGGAUAACGUAGGGAAAUUUACGCUAAUACCGCAUACGACCUACGGGUGAAAGCAGGGGAUCUUCGGACUUUGCGCGAUUGAAUGAGCCGAUGUCGGAUUAGCUAGUUGGCGGGGUAAAGGCCCACCAAGGCGACGAUCCGUAGCUGGUCUGAGAGGAUGAUCAGCCACACUGGAACUGAGACACGGUCCAGACUCCUACGGGAGGCAGCAGUGGGGAAUAUUGGACAAUGGGCGCAAGCCUGAUCCAGCCAUACCGCGUGGGUGAAGAAGGCCUUCGGGUUGUAAAGCCCUUUUGUUGGGAAAGAAAAGCAGCAGGUUAAUACCCCGCUGUUCUGACGGUACCCAAAGAAUAAGCACCGGCUAACUUCGUG
rnacentral:rRNA from 1 species